AGCGCAAAGUCCUUAACUUCCAACACAUACAGCCCCUGUCUGUGCCUCCCAGCAAGGCCCUAGGAUGCUGUACUGGCCUGCUUUGCACCACCUUCCCUGCCCUACUUCCUGAACUUUGUAUACCCUGAGCGCAAGCUGUGCAAACAGGACCAAGCUAACUGCCUUUGACCCUCCAAGACUGCCAUAUUUGGAACCUGACUUAUUGCUAAAGGAAUCUUCAUCCAUGCCAAUGGAAAAACAUUGAGAUAGACCAGGAUAAAAGCUCUCCGACGUGUUGGGCAUGUCAAGUUGGAAAGAUAACUUGCUGAGGAUAGAGAAGGGCUUACCCACCAAUUCUUGAUGGAAGCAGGGAGUUUACUUCUCUCCUCCAUGUAUUAGGUACAAAUCCAGGAAUUCUGACCUCUUCGUUGACUCUACCCUACCCACAAUGAAAAAUGCUAAGAGAUAGCCUUGAAAUUUACACCAUAGACAAAUGUAUAUAGCAUUUUGUUGUAAACUUAUGCAAUAUUUACAUAUGGAAUUGGAAACACAUUUCAGAUUUUAGGUUCUCAAACACCAGAACUGAUGCCCCAGUGCCAUGUUUUCAUAUCUGUUUAGCUUUCGUGUGCAGCUGAAGUAUUUCACAAUGCAUCAAGGAACAUAUCAGAAGAAAAGAUUAUGAAAAGCAAGGCAACCUGUUAAAUAAUAAGAUAGUAAUCUGAAGAGACUCACCCUUCUCUCAUAAAAUAAAAAAUGCCUAGAGAUAGGCAUUAAGGCCAAGCUUACUUUUGACGAGAGAUUAGAAAUGUUUAACUAUCUGGGAAUGAAAGCCACAUACCAUCCUGAGGUAAAUGUAGAGCACUAAAAAUGACUUCCCCAUCAGUAACUCAGGAACAGAACAUUUCACAACUUGGCAGCUGGAUGAAAAGAUAAUCAUGUGGAUAGAAGCAUGGACCUCCCUGCCUUGAAGAGAUAACAGAACCAAAAAAGAAGAAGUAGUCAAGAAGGUAUUUGCUUUCUAAGGUCAUUGUGGUCU